rnacentral:rRNA from 1 species
UACGUAGGUGGCAAGCGUUGUCCGGAAUUAUUGGGCGUAAAGGGCUCGUAGGCGGUUUGUCACGUCGGGAGUGAAAACUCAGGGCUUAACCCUGAGCCUGCUUCCGAUACGGGCAGACUAGAGGUAUGCAGGGGAGAACGGAAUUCCUGGUGUAGCGGUGAAAUGCGCAGAUAUCAGGAGGAACACCGGUGGCGAAGGCGGUUCUCUGGGCAUUACCUGACGCUGAGGAGCGAAAGUGUGGGGAGCGAACAGG